AGCGUGCGGGCGAUACGGGCAGACUUGAGUACUGCAGGGGAGACUGGUAUUCCUGGUGUAGCGGUGGAAUGCGCAGAUAUCAGGAGGAACACCGGUGGCGAAGGCGGGUCUCUGGGCAGUAACUGACGCUGAGGAGCGAAAGCGUGGGGAGCGAACAGGAUUAGAUACCCUGGUAGUCCACGCCGCAAACGGUGGGUACUAGGUGUGGGUUUCCUUCCUUGGGAUCCGUGCCGUAGCUAACGCAUUAAGUACCCCGCCUGGGGAGUACGGCCGCAAGGCUAAAACUCAAAGAAAUUGACGGGGGCCCGCACAAGCGGCGGAGCAUGUGGAUUAAUUCGAUGCAACGCGAAGAACCUUACCUGGGUUUGACAUGCACAGGACGCCGGCAGAGAUGUCGGUUCCCUUGUGGCCUGUGUGCAGGUGGUGCAUGGCUGUCGUCAGCUCGUGUCGUGAGAUGUUGGGUUAAGUCCCGCAACGAGCGCAACCCUUGUCUCAUGUUGCCAGCGGGUAAUGCCGGGGACUCGUGAGAGACUGCCGGGGUCAACUCGGAGGAAGGUGGGGAUGACGUCAAGUCAUCAUGCCCCUUAUGUCCAGGGCUUCACACAUGCUACAAUGGCCGGUACAAAGGGCUGCGAUGCCGCGAGGUUAAGCGAAUCCUUUUAAAGCCGGUCUCAGUUCGGAUCGGGGUCUGCAACUCGACCCCGUGAAGUC
rnacentral:rRNA from 1 species